rnacentral:lncRNA from 10 species
CGACAGAGCAAGACUCCAUCUCAAAAAACAAAGAAAUAAGAAUUAUUACUGCAGAAGAAAGAAAAGAAUAUACAGGAGAGUCAAGCUAUGCAGCUUCAUUUCCCUAGUUUUGUAUUUUUCUUUGGGCUAAUGAAAACAUGGAAUUUGCACCAGUCUACCCUUCAGUGCUUCCAAAAACAUUAUUAGGUCCACCAUUGUUUAUCAGGCCUGUAAAAUUUCCUAAGUUGGCACUCACAUUUGCUGUGUUAUGCCUCCUUCCUUUUGUCUUCCAGAACUUCCUAUCUGGUUUCCUGUAUGACAGAACUUAGAGGAUACUAACAUGUUCUAAUAGAAAAUUCAUUCUGAAUUCUUCUGUGAAUAUAAAAUAUUUGGAGGAUUUAAAAGAAAGAGAACAUAAACUUUACUUUGGGCCAGCAGGUUAUCAUUUGGCCUGCCUUGAAGUUGUUUAAUCCUCAGGAAUGAGCCAGUCUGUAUCCUCAGAGCAGCAAAAGACUCUCAAACGUGAGACAAUGGACACUUAUGAGUCCCUUGUUGAUCUAUUUCUGCAAGACAUUUGGUUAGUUUUUCCAGCAAAGAAUCUUAAAACCACACUACUGAAAAGGACACAAAGAGGUCAUCUUCUGAGCCAGACUGCCAAAAAGGACUGCACUUAAAAUAAUGAAAACAGAUAGUCAUUGCUCCUGUUCUUAAAAUCUUUAUGGGACAGAUGCUUCCCUCAAAGACAACUCUGCGUUGGUUUUAGGAGCACUGCGGCUGAAUGAAGAUCUAUAACGCUGGAAAACUGAUCAAUACCCCAUCAACUGCAACAACAAUGUCAAGAUGUCUACAUCCAAAGAAACAACUGGCUCAGAGGAUUAAGGGGCAUUUUCACCUUCACACCACCGACUCUUCAUUUGUCAUCAGCAAGCUGGGGACAAUUACUCAGAAGACAAUGGCAGCAGCGCCACAGCACCGUGGGUUUAAUGCUAUUUCUGUCUCUAUAAAAUCUUCAAUAAUUUGUUUACGACUUCCAAAAUUCAACAAUAGUGUGCAAAUGCAAUUCUACUUAUGUUAAUGUGUACCUCCUUUUCUCAUAUCAGAUUCUGAAUAAAAAUUAGGCAAGUACUCUGUUUUGAAAAUAUAUAAGAUGUGAACUUCCUGGGGGGCUGGGGGGACCUCCAAAUGCACUAUCCUAUCAACCACAUUUUUUUUAACUUAAUAACUUAAGUGAACUGUUAGUGAAAUUACAACCUGCUUGUGACACAGUAAAUUUACAACAAAAUUCAUUCCAUAAAUUAUUCAAUUCCAAGACUGCAGUCAAGGAGAGAAAUAUCACCAGGAGCAGGUGAUUAGCAUGUGAAAGGAAAAACCCAUCUCCCUGCAGAAACAAUCACUGUCAAAGCUUCCUAUUGGAGUUUUGUAAAAAUUACUGUUAAGAACACACAUUUAAGGCUUUGUAGUUCCUAUAAAAGGGCUAAGUAUUUGAUUUACAUUAGAUUCGUUUGUUCUUUCUUCAACUGUCUCUUUCUCCUACAAACCAUAACUGCCUCAAUAAAUGCUUGCUCAAUCAAGUGUGCAUUAAAACAAAAGAAUUUAACUUCAAUAAAAGUGAUGAAUCAGGGCCAG